CCAGUUACUCUAGCGCGCCAGGCCGAACCGCAGCUUCUUGGCUUAGGUACUUCUACUCACAGCGGCCGAUUCCGAGGCCAACUCCAGCAAUGGCUUUUGCAAAUCUGCGGAAAGUGCUCAUCAGUGACAGCCUGGACCCUUGCUGCCGGAAGAUCUUGCAAGAUGGAGGGCUGCAGGUGGUGGAAAAGCAGAACCUUAGCAAAGAGGAGCUGAUAGCGGAGCUGCAGGACUGUGAAGGCCUUAUUGUUCGCUCUGCCACCAAGGUGACCGCUGAUGUCAUCAACGCAGCUGAGAAACUCCAGGUGGUGGGCAGGGCUGGCACAGGUGUGGACAAUGUGGAUCUGGAGGCCGCAACAAGGAAGGGCAUCUUGGUUAUGAACACCCCCAAUGGGAACAGCCUCAGUGCCGCAGAACUCACUUGUGGAAUGAUCAUGUGCCUGGCCAGGCCUGAAACCUUCCGGGACCAAGAAAUUACUUUUCCCAUGGCGAGACCUGCUUUCCCUCCUGCUGGAGGAGGAUCUGGGGGAAUUUACCUCUGCUCUAACUCCUCCCUGCAGUUUCCAUCUGAGCUCUCUGGACCAGCUUUGUUUAAAGGAAUCGGUGAAAUGCUGUGGUUUAAAAGAAGCUCCCCAUUGUCAACUGCUCACCAUGACCUCACUCAUCAAAGGCAGAUUCCCCAGGCGACGGCUUCGAUGAAGGACGGCAAAUGGGAGCGGAAGAAGUUCAUGGGAACAGAGCUGAAUGGAAAGACCCUGGGAAUUCUUGGCCUGGGCAGGAUUGGGAGAGAGGUAGCUACCCGGAUGCAGUCCUUUGGGAUGAAGGUAAGAUGUUGCUGGAACCCUGUGAUGUGGGACUUUCUGCAGCAAUUUUGGGAAAGGCAGCAUGUCUGGGCAGAAGCCAGAAGCUUUGUUCUAGGAGGGUCUGACCCUCUCUUGGAGCCCCCAUCUAAAUAAGUGUUAAAGUCAAGGAGGGAGAGAACACUGGCCUGCUGAUCUGGACUCAAAAGCUGGAAAUACUUGGUGGGGGUCCUUUAGCUCUCUGGUGAGUGAAUAGCCCUGAGUCCCAGUGAACCAGGUGUUGAUGGCUCUUUUGAGACUUUGGUUCCUGUCUUCUUAGUUUAAAAGAAUUUAAACAAGAGACACGGUGCAGCAUUGAGGAGUUUAUUGCAAAGGAAAAAGAAUAUUUUGAAAGUUAAGUGCAGAGUAGACAGUACACCUCGGGAGAGAGAGAAUUCAGGGUGGGCUGCUCAUAAGAGUGAGGCAGUGUUGGCCGGGCGCGGUGGCUCACGCCUGUAAUCCAGCACUUUGGGAGGCCGAGGCAGGCAGAUCAUGAGGUCAGGAGAUCAAGACCAUCCUGGAUAACAUGGUGAAACCGCAUCGCUACUAAAAAAAAAAAAAAAAAAAUUAGCCGGGCGUGGUGGCGGGCGCCUGUAGUCCCAGCUACUUGGGAGGCUGAGGCAGGAGAAUGGCGUGAACCCGGGAGGCGGAGCUUGCAGUGAGCCGAGAUCAUGCCACUGCACUCCAGCCUGGGCGACAGAGCGAGACUCCGUCUUAAAAAACAGAAACAAAAACAAAAACGAAUGAGGCAGUGUUGAUUAUUGCUGGAGAAACUCCCUUUAUAGGAGUUUUACAUGAUUAUUCAUAAGGAGGUGGGAAGAGCUGUUACUAGUAAGCAUGUUUUGGGUGGUCCUCUGGGUGCACAUGAGUAGUAGCUGUACAUUCUUGUUCAUUUGGCACAUGUCUUAUUAGCAUCUUAAAUCUCCACCCAGGAGUGUGUUUUUUACUAUUAUAAUGAGCCAGGGGGUCAGUUUGAGGACAGGAAAAAUCAAAGUGCACAGGCUGUCUAGAUGGGAAGUUCCCUACUGAAGAUAGCUUUGCUUGAAUGAGCUCAGUUAGAAUAUGAAUACCGAGGCUUAUUGUGUUGACUAUAGGAUCACCAAGGUUGCUGCACUUCCUUGAUUACCUAUCCUGCCUCACAGGGAGGGUGCUUGUGUCCUGCCCAUUCUUUCUUUCCUUCCUGCUUUUGUUUUGUCUGCUUUCCUGUGAUAAUUUAGAAAACAGGAACAAGUUUAUGGCCUCACAGUAGAGCCUUACAUCCAUUGUCCAUCUGUCCUUCCAGUUUCCCUCCAUAUUUCAGAAAAGAUUUAAAAGUGCUUGUAUGUACACUAUGAUAUGAUUGUAGAGCCUAUGGUGGCUGGAAGACCUCACACCGGUCUCAGAAAUCACACCUAACUCCUGUCUUCCCCCAGGUCUCUGCCUUUUCCUACUCUGGGAGCUCAGUAGGCUUCUGGCUACUCCCUUAGCCUGAUUGCAACCCUCUGGUUGCCAUCAGUAGCAGUGCCACCCACUUGGGCUAAUCCAGGAGACCUUGCAAAUGAGAGAGGCAAUUCAGCUAAGAGAGGGGAUCUGCAGGGCUUCCCAGAUAGGCCAAAGAGAUGAACCCACUAAGGCUACUAUGGGACAUCUCUCUGUUCACUUUCUGUUUUAGGGAAUUACAGGGAUUAUGGGGUCAAACUGCAGCCAGGAAGUCUUUAAACAUUAGGAGAUCAGUUUUGACAACCAGAUCAUGUCAAAUCUAGAAAAGUUUACAUAGAGCUGCUAUGGAACUCUCCCUUUUUCUACAUCCCUCCUACCUUCUUAGAGUUAGAAGGGAUCUUAAUAGAUUAACCCUUAAUUUUACAUUGACAUCUAGAAUUUGUAAGCUUAUGCCUAAGGACUCAUAGCAAAUGGACAGUAGCCUAGAGCCUGGUGAGCAUCCCAUUGUACACAUUGAAUAUUAUCCUCUCCCUCCUGCCUCCACUCCCCAUCUUAUUUAUUUAAGUCAGCCAGAUAUCUUUCCUAAGCCUCUGCACUGAGAAGGGCCAGGUGUAUUCUUGAUCCCUGGACUCCUGAGAGAGGCAGAUGUAGCCCAGCAGGAUCAUUGAUCAUGUAAACAAACCACAGCCUUGCCCUCUGUGCAGGGAUGGUGGGAUGCCAUAAGCCACAAAGAGCACUCCCUCCUCCAUCCUCUUUUGUAAGGGAUCAAGGGUCAAGGUUUAGUCCAUGGAGAAUUUUGAUAUAAAAGGCAGAGGUCAGGAGUUAAGUAAAACUAAGAGCACUCAUAGCCAAAUAGGUGAGCAUUUCAUUGAUGAAGCAGUAACUGGGAGACAGGCUCCAGACCAGUGGCCGUUCCAAGGCUCCUGCCCCCUUCCCCAGGGGGUCCUCUUCCCCAUGACUCCCCUUCCCCAGGCUUCCUUCUCCGUGGCACCACUACACAUCAAUAUUCCUGGCAAUAUUCUUCAUCAUGGAGACUUCGGCAGCGACUUCAACCAGAUGAAAAGCCCCACCUCAUUCCUGAAUGAUUGAGGUGCUAGAACAUGCUCUUUGUAAACCCCUGAAACAUGGCUUGGAUCAUUCCGUCUCCCACCUCAGCCCCUCCGGAGCUGCCUGGACCUCAUCAUUCCGGAGAGUCUAAGUGGCCUCUUCUCGUGCUCAGCUGCUUACCUCAACCACGUCAUUAUCAUACUUUUGAGUCUGGAUGAAUUUUGUCUUAGGGCGGAGAGCUCAUCAGUUCUACCGGUCUUGGAGAACAAGAUUUUCUAAAGGGAAAGGAAGAUUCUUGAACAUAUUGUGAAAGAGAUGUAUAAGCACCCAGACAGGAAAUGAGGAUAAGUGUUUAUUAAACACAAGUUAUUUCAUACUAGCCUCAUCCUCUUUUUGGAAACCAUUAUUAAACUGGUAGAGUAUGGAAAUCCCUAGAUGUCAGAUACCCGGACUAUUUAAAGUUAUGUUUUAAUCAUGUAAUAAAGGAAUGCAUUCUCAUAUAAAUUAAAA